rnacentral:rRNA from 1 species
AUUGAACGCUGGCGGAAUGCUUUACACAUGCAAGUCGAACGGCAGCACGGACAUCGGUCUGGUGGCGAGUGGCGAACGGGUGAGUAACAUAUCGGAACGUAUCCAAUAAUGGGGGAUAACGAGUCGAAAGAUUCGCUAAUACCGCAUACGCCCUACGGGGGAAAGCUGGGGACCUUCGGGCCUGGCGUUAAUGGAGCGGCCGAUAUCUGAUUAGCUAGUUGGUGAGGUAAAGGCUCACCAAGGCGACGAUCAGUAGCUGGUCUGAGAGGACGACCAGCCACACUGGAACUGAGACCCGGUCCAGACUCCUACGGGAGGCAGCAGUGGGGAAUUUUUGACAAUGGGCGCAAGCCUGAUCCAGCCAUUCCGCGUGAGUGAAGAAGGCCUUCGGGUUGUAAAGCUCUUUCGCAAGGGAAGAAAACUUAGCCACUAACAUUGGUUGAGGUUGACGGUACCUUGAUAAGAAGCACCGGCUAACUACGUGCCAGCAGCCGCCGUAA